UACGUAGGCGGCGAGCGUUGUCCGGAUUUACUUGGCGUAAAGGGAGCGUAGGCGGACUUUUAAGUGAGAUGUGAAAUACCCGGGCUCAACUUGGGUGCUGCAUUUCAAACUGGAAGUCUAGAGUGCAGGAGAGGAGAAUGGAAUUCCUAGUGUAGCGGUGAAAUGCGUAGAGAUUAGGAAGAACACCAGUGGCGAAGGCGAUUCUCUGGACUGUAACUGACGCUGAGGCGCGAAAGCGUGGGGAGCAAACAGGAUUAGAUACCCCCGUACGU
rnacentral:rRNA from 1 species